ACGUAGGGGGCAAGCGUUGUCCGGAUUUACUGGGUGUAAAGGGUGCUCAGGCGGGUUUGUAAGUCAGUGGUGAAAUCCCGGAGCUUAACUCCGGAACUGCCAUUGAUACUGCAAGCCUAGAGAUCGGGAGAGGUUGAUGGAAUAUCUGGUGUAGCAGUGAAAUGCGUAGAUAUCAGAUAGAACACCAAUGGCGAAGGCAGUCAACUGGCCCGAUUCUGACGCUAAAGCACGAAAGUGUGGGUAGCAAACAG
rnacentral:rRNA from 1 species